rnacentral:rRNA from 1 species
ACAUGCCUACAACAUAGCAUUAAUGCACCAUAUUCCAUUAUAAAUCCACAGUUAAGCGCGCUCGGUCUAGAGUAGUAUUAGGAUGGGUGACCACUCGGGAAGUACUAGUAUUUUACAUGCC